GCAAGAGCAGAGUUGAAAUCCUCUCUGAAACAGCUGGAAAAGAAAGUUGCUUUCUGUUUUCCUCCAGUCCAACCUGAGGAAUUCUGAACACUCUCACAGGCUGUGUCCAAUCUUCUUUACUGGAAGCAAUUGGAUAGUCCAGAUCCAGCUUUUGCUGCUCUUUGUAACCGAGUAUUGAAACAAACGCUAUCAAGCAUUCAAAGGCUAGUGAGACAGAGGUGGGGCCACAUAGCUACUGCAACAAGAGGCUGCAGGGGCACUGAGCUACUCCACCCAGAAGGAGAUGCCAGUUAUUAAAGUACAGAGUGAAGCACAGAACCUCACAUCCACCUUCAUCCAUGCGGAACUCCCCUUUUCAGCUUGAACAAAAGAUGUGAUCCACAAUGAGCAUUUUCUCACUACUUCUGAGGACUUAUUUUUAUUCUUUCUUUUUUUUUUGCUGACAACUGUAAUGUGCAAGACUGUUCACAGCCAUGAAACAAAAGGAUUAGUACAAAAGCAGUAUGAAAUGAUAUGCAUAAAGUUCAAUUCAACUUAGUUUUAUUUUAACAAGGAGGCAAAACAAGAAUUUGCUAAGAAUUUGCUCUGCUAAGCAGGAACUGCACCCGUCCCACAAAAUGAACUCACAGAGGGAAAAGUAGGGGAGCCAAAGGAAACAUGGCAAAGCCAGAUUCCUGGGGGAAUAAUUUCUCCACACAGCAAUCAGAAUCUCUCUUGUGUGCCUCGGUGUAAGAAUGCUAUAUCUACCAAGCAUCUUUUAAGCACUGCAGAUUUAAAGCUGAAAAGAAUGAAAAGCCAACUGUCAGCAAGUGACCAUGGCCACCACACAAGUAAAUGAAAACUGCUUUAUAAAAAAAGGUUAAUAUAAUAAGAAUUCUCAUUUUUAUUCAUGCUAUAGGCUUUUUUAAAUCUACUAUAUUCAGAAGUUUCUUAUAAAACUGUGAUCCUGAAAAUGUGUUCAAUUUGACAUUGGGAAGGAAAAGAAGUAUGAAAGGAGUCUGGAUGAAAAAAUGAAGUUGCUAACAUCAUUCAAGAAGAGAUCUGUAAUU